UAGCUGUAAAGAAGUUUGAAGUAUACGUGGUAAACAAGAUUGAAUAGAUUAAACUUUAUAAAAACAUGAAUAAUUUUUUACUUUUAAAACUUGAAAUAAAUUGAUAUGUGUAAACAAUUUUUUUAAAUUUUAAUCACACAUUUUGAAUACUAAAAAGUAUAUUGUAAUUACUUUAAUGUUUUCAUAAUCAAAAUAUGUAAAAAAAAAAUCAACUAUCAGAAGAAGUAUAUAAUUAGAGAUUAUGGAUGUUGAAUUUUUGUGCUACCAACACAUUUUUAUGUUGUAAAUUUCAUACAUGACAUCAUAUUUAUAUUCAUCUGAUCAUAUGAUUUUAAAGUGAACUAACAUAAAUAGCACAAAUUACUCAUAAUUUCAUGUACACCUCUUGACCAUACAAUUAAUAUCCAAGAGUUGGCACCUCUAAGAUUUCAUCUCUUUCAUCAAAUUUCAUGUUCCUGCACUUACAAUCCUCAAGAAGCAAGGUGGUGGUUCAAUGUGUCCCUUCUACAUGUUACUUGGGUUCAUCCUCAGCAUCCAAUUUUACUCAUAUUUUGGUCUGAUGCAUUUGAAGCUUCAUGUGUGGACAACAUUGACACAAAUUAGAAAUAAAAAUGAUUUUCAACAAGAAGAGUCAAUGGAAAAAACUGCACGUACCUUGCCUUCAUCUGUUGAUGAAACAAUAGACAGUAACCCUAAUUUGAAUUCACAGUUGCAGUGGAUUUCUUUCAUCCAUGAUUUUUAGGAAUCAACACAAAGCCGAUUUGUUCGACUUCCAAAUGAAAUAAAGUCCACUGGAACCUUUCAUGAUUUAUUUUCAAAUCCCAUAUUCUUCAAUUUGACACACUUGCAUUGUAAACACACUAAUGAUGGAUUGAUAUGCACACAAAAUUAUGUAAAAAAAUUAAAAAAAUUAAAAAAUAAAACUAGUUUAUCAACACUUACAUGAGGUUUGCAUGUCACCAAUAAUGACAAGUAGCGAUUCCCACAGAACUCAGAUUGUGUUGCAUGUGCAGGUACUGAGGAUUUGAAGACGAUUCAAGCAUGAAAUUCAAACCUGUGGUGAUGUUUAGAGCAGGAGCAGCGGUCACAGUCACUUUAGUGUCGAAGGUAGCCACCGCGUUAGCCUCCUCAGCAUGUAACGUUGGCACUGCUGCGGUCGCAGCGACAGCUGCUGCAGCAGCUGCUUCU